rnacentral:rRNA from 1 species
GAGUUUGAUCCUGGCUCAGGAUGAACGCUAGCGGCAGGCCUAACACAUGCAAGUCGAACGGUAACAGCAGAGCUUGCUCUGGCUGACGAGUGGCGCACGGGUGCGUAACGCGUAUACAAUCUACCUUUUACAGAGAGAUAGCCUUUAGAAAUGAAGAUUAAUACCUCAUAGUAUGAUAAUAAGGCAUCUUAUUAUUAUUAAAGCUUCGGCGGUAAAAGAUGAGUAUGCGUUCUAUUAGCUAGAUGGUGUGGUAACGGCACACCAAGACAACGAUAGGUAGGGGCCCUGAGAGGGGGAUCCCCCACACUGGUACUGAGACACGGACCAGACUCCUACGGGAGGCAGCAGUGAGGAAUAUUGGACAAUGGAGGCAACUCUGAUCCAGCCAUGCCGCGUGCAGGAAGACUGCCCUAUGGGUUGUAAACUGCUUUUAUACAGGAAGAAACACUCUCACGUGUGAGAGUUUGACGGUACUGUAAGAAUAAGGACCGGCUAACUCCGUGCCAGCAGCCGCGGUAAUACGGAGGGUCCGAGCGUUAUCCGGAAUCAUUGGGUUUAAAGGGUCCGUAGGUGGAUAAUUAAGUCAGAGGUGAAAUCUUGCAGCUCAACUGUAAAAUUGCCUUUGAUACUGGUUAUCUUGAGUUAUUAUGAAGUAGUUAGAAUAUGUAGUGUAGCGGUGAAAUUCAUAGAUAUUACAUAGAAUACCAAUUGCGAAGGCGGAUUACUAAUAAUAUAUUGACGCUGAGGGACGAAAGCGUGGGGAGCGAACAGGAUUAGAUACCCUGGUAGUCCACGCCGUAAACGAUGGAUACUAGCUGUUCGGAUUUAUCUGAGUGGCUAAGCGAAAGUGAUAAGUAUCCCACCUGGGGAGUACGUUCGCAAGAAUGAAACUCAAAGGAAUUGACGGGGGCCCGCACAAGCGGUGGAGCAUGUGGUUUAAUUCGAUGAUACGCGAGGAACCUUACCAGGGCUUAAAUGUAGAUUGACAGGUUUAGAGAUAGAUCUUUCUUCGGACUACUUACAAGGUGCUGCAUGGUUGUCGUCAGCUCGUGCCGUGAGGUGUCAGGUUAAGUCCUAUAACGAGCGCAACCCCUGUUGUUAGUUGCCAGCGAUUCAAGUCGGGAACUCUAACAAGACUGCCAGUGCAAACUGUGAGGAAGGUGGGGAUGACGUCAAAUCAUCACGGCCCUUACGUCCUGGGCCACACACGUGCUACAAUGGCGAGGACAGAGGGCAGCUACCUGGUGACAGGGAGCGAAUCUUUAAACUCUAUCUCAGUUCGGAUCGGAGUCUGCAAACCGACUUCUUGAAGCUGGAAUCGCUAGUAAUCGCGCAUCAGCCAUGGCGCGGUGAAUACGUUCCCGGGCCUUGUACACACCGCCCGUCAAGCCAUGGAAGUUGGGAGUGCCUGAAGUCCGUCACCGCAAGGAGCGGCCUAGGGUAAAAUUGGUAACUAGGGCUAAGUCGUAACAAGGUAACC